GGGUCAGUAGGUUGGUCGUGCCACCGGUACGUUCUGGUCUCACUGAUUCCUCCUUCCUGAAGAACCGUAAUGCCAUUAAUUUGGUGUUGCGGGGAAACAGGACUGUUACUUUGAAAAAAUUAGAGUGUUUAAAGCAAGCUAACGCUUGAAUACAUUGGCAUGGAAUAAUGAAAUAGGACGAUCGAUCCUAUUUUGUUGGUUUCUAGGAUUGACGUA
rnacentral:rRNA from 1 species